CCUACGGGAGACAGCAGUGAGGAAUAUUGGUCAAUGGACGGGAGUCUGAACCAGCCAAGUAGCGUGAAGGAUGACUGCCCUAUGGGUUGUAAACUUCUUUUAUAAGGGAAUAAAGUGAGGCACGUGUGCCUUUUUGCAUGUACUUUAUGAAUAAGGAUCGGCUAACUCCGUGCCAGCAGCCGCGGUAAUACGGAGGAUCCGAGCGUUAUCCGGAUUUAUUGGGUUUAAAGGGUGCGUAGGCGGGUUGUUAAGUCAGUGGUUAAAGUCUGCGGCUCAACCGCAAAAUUGCAAUUGAUACUGGCAGUCUUGAGUACAGAUGAGGUAGGCGGAAUGCGUGGUGUAGCGGUGAAAUGCUUAGAUAUCACGAAGAACUCCGAUUGCGAAGGCAGCUUACUAAACUGCGACUGACGCUGAUGCACGAAAGUGUGGGUAUCAAACAGGAUUAGAUACCCUAGUAGUC
rnacentral:rRNA from 1 species